rnacentral:lncRNA from 10 species
GUACUUCCUGCUUUUGAGAGGCCCUGCUUUUGAGAGGCUGAUGAGUGGCAGGGAGAGCGGGGCUGGGGCUGGAGGACCUGAGGCAGCCUCGGUCUUGACCAUCCAUUAGUUGUGCCACACCGGGCAGGGCCUUGAGCUUGAGUUUCCUGGUCUAGACAGGAACAGUAAUCGCAUCCUCGCCUGCCCACCCUGAGGCUUACUAUGCAGCUCAAAAGGAGUCCAUGCCUGGGAACGUCCCUUGUCAUCUAUGAAACCCGAUAUGGAUACAAGUGGUGGUUGAUUUGGGAGAGAGGACUGUCAAAGGCAGGGUGGGACACGGGGUGGACCCACUCCAAGCACAGGGGAGAGAGGAUCGAGAAGGAGGAUGGUAUGGUUUGGAUCUUUGUCCCUGCCCAUAUCUCAUGUGGAAUUGUAAUCCCCAGUGUUGAAGUGGGGCCUGAUAGGAGGUGACUGGAUCGUGGGGAUGGAUUUCCCCCUUGCUGUUCUUGUGAUAGUGAGUGAAUUCUCAUGAGAUCUGGCUGUUUAAAAGUGUGUAGCACCUCCCCGCUUUGCUCUCUUCCUCCUGCUCCCACCAUAUUAAGAUGUGCCUGGUUCCCCAUCUGCCCUGAUUGUAAGUUUCCUGAGGCCUUCCCAGAAGCAGAAGCCUGCACAGCCUGCAGAACCAUGAGUCAAUUAAACCUCUUUUCUUUAUAAAUUACCCAGUCUCAGGUAGUUCUUUAUAGCAUGUGAAAACGGACUAAUGCAGAGGGGGAACCAGGCACGCCUUCAACUGAGGAGCAGAGCCUGAGACAAAUGUCCGGGUGCAGGUAGUUCACGUGGGUGUAGGAAUGAGGGAUAGGGUAGGAGAACAGGGAAGCAGGGAAAACCAAUACCAGGAUGUGCUAUCAAGGUGGCCAAUGCUCAGUUCUUCCAGAAUGUUCCACAGGGCCAUAUGAAAUGUACCUUAAAACUGUCCUGUGAGAUGAAAGACAGAAGGAUUUUCCCACUGUCUUCUAUCUCAAAUGGGUUAAGGAUGGUCCCACACAAAUUAAUUCCUCCACACUUUGGGACCGUGCAUGUAUAAGACUAGGAUGUUUCCUGAAGCACCCAGAGUGAGGCGCUGUCUGGUUGUACCUGCUCCGAAGUGUGAGGGUUGGGAUUAAGAGGAUCCACAGUGGUGUGGAAGAAAUGUCAAACACAAGUGCGAGACCAUCCAGGCACAGCCUGACCUGGAAAAUGCCUUUGACAAUGCAAUUCUGCUAGUGAAAGUUGCCAUGGCUGUUCAUGAGGAAGGGAUGAGAUAGAUACUAUUCAGUUAUCAAGUGAUACAGGGAGAAAAUUAUUUUCAGCCAGAGUACCAAUGUUAGUGUAAUAUUUGGAAAGAAGGAUGAAUUCUAGCUCCAUGAUGCUAUGAUUGAUUACUAAUGUCUGCUAUGAGGGUAAGCAGGGGGUUAUGGUAAUAAUGCUGUAUGUAUAUUUACUAUGACUUCUGCCAGACCCCUUAGCUCUUCUCUCCUUGAAUUACUGAGCUCCAGAAAGACCUGAUUCCACUGGCAUUCCAUGGAAUUAUAUUCUCUAAAGGAAGAAAAGCCCUACUUUUAUAUUUCCCUCCACUUAUAAGCUAAAUCUUGUUGCAUAGUCACAAGUUUGGACAGUGUGGGUUUUCAGCUGAAGGACUGAAAUCCACCUUCCACGACAGCCUUUGGGAAAGAUGCUGACACGGGGCCAGUGCUCCUCAGUCACAAGGACACUCACAUGGGUUCCCAGGCAAGUCUAGAGUGCGGAGGCAUAAGAACUCAGUGUCCUAGGUAAGUGGUAGUCAGGCCAUCCAAUAAAAACCCACAGCCACCCGAGUAAAUAUGUGUUUAACUCCCUGGGGGACUUGAGCCCAGUCCCUGGCACCUACUUCCAAGAUCAGUAUCUCCACCACAGACUCCACAAGUCUCUUCCAGCUAGCACCAUUUCAACUAAACUCAUAAAUCUUCCUGACAUUGAAUGUUAUGGGCUGAAUUAUGUCCCCAACAAAGUCCUAUGUUGAAAUCCUAACCCCCAGUAAUUCAGAGUGUGACUGUAUUUGAAGAUAGAGUCUUUAAAGCAAUAAUUAACAUUAAACGAGGUCAUUGGGGUGGGCCUUAAUCCAAUAUGACUGUGUCCUUAUAAGAAGAGGAAACUUGGACACAGAAGGAAGAACAUGUGAAGACUCAGAUGUUUUGUUUUAUUAUUAAUAUUCCAUUCUGGCAACAGUUAAAUUGGAUGACUAGAGGACUGAAUAUUGAUGUUCCCUCUACGGAAAGUGAUUUAUCAUUAUGAUUCAAGAGCGUAAAAGACAUUCAUGCCCUUUGACCUAUUAAUUCCCCUCAAAGAUAUAUGUUGUAGAGAAGUAUCAAAGUUGGAGACAAAUGGUUUCCAUGAAAAUAUUUAUCAAGCCAUUAUUUAUGAAUGCAUAACAUUGGAAAUAAUCCCAGUAUUAAACAAUAGAAGGUAUACAUAAAUUAUAUAGUUAGUUCAUGGAAUGGAAUGUUAUGCAGACAUUUAAAUUAUGUUGCUUUAAAAAUAAAAUAAUAUAGGGAAAUGCAUGUGUCAUAAAACUAUUGAAAGAAAGAUACCAAGGUGUAUAUACAGAAUGCUUUCAUGUAUCAAAAGCAGGGCACAGCCUGGGCAACACGGCAAGACCUCAUCUCUUUACAGAAGGUAAAAAAUUAGCAAGGUGCAGUGGUCCAUGCCUGUUACUCGAGAGGUUGAGGCAGGAGAAUCGUUUGAGCCCAGGAGUUGGAGGCUGCAGUGAGCUAUGAUGGCACCACCGCACUAUAGCAGCCUGGGUGACAGAGUGAGACCCUCAUCUCUUUAAAAAAAAAAAAAAAAAAAAAAAACUGGGCAGAAAAAAUAUCAGAAGGAUAAGCCCCAAAAUAUUAGCAGCAAAUUCUCCUUCCCUUGACUGACAAAGUGGAACUGGGGUGAUUAUUCCCCCCUCUCUUAACUCCUAAUGUUUUCCAAUGUUUCUUAAAUUGAACAUAUAUUUUAACACAAAGAACAAUAAAUUUUUAAAAUAUGGCAUGAAUAAUCCACAACUACAAGUCUCUCCAUGAAUUAUUGAGGCCUUAAGGUGUUUCUAAAACUAACAAAAAUUAAGGUGAUAAAUAUCCAAUGUGGGAAAGCUGGUGCACCGAUACAUGGCUGAGGGCGUUGUAAAUUACUUCACUCUUUCUGGAGAGCAAUCUCACAAUAUGUGACAAGUGCCACAGAAUUGUUCCUACCCUUUGACCUAGCAAUUCCAGUUGGAAAUCUGCCCCUGUGAAAAUAACUAAGAGAAAAAGUAGUGUGUUCAAAGGCAUGCAUUGCAGUGACAUUUAUAAUCAUGAAAAAUUGGCCACAAUCUAGAUACCCAACCAUAAAAAUGGUAGAUAAACCCUAAAACUGCCAAGUAUGCAGGUUAUGUCAAUAUGUGGCAAUGUUUAUAAGAACAGUUAAAUGGAAAAAGCUGAGCACUAGAUAUUACAUGCACACACUGAUUGUAACUCUGCAAAACACACACUGACUGGCGUAGGAUCAAUGUUGGAAAAGAAUGCAGAAGAAGGCAGACCGUAGAGGAUUUGGUGGAAAGAACAUGUUCAUUUAGAACCAGGGCUUGGCUCCAGAUGAUGUUUUGUGGAGAACCCCAGAGUUCCCAUGGAUGAUUGACAUGGUCAAAAUGAGUUCCACAGACAGUCCAUGCUUGUGCCAGAUGAGAUGGUUACCAGUAUUUUUUUCGUCAAUGUGAGGAAGCGCCUGGGGGCAAUUCUCUCCAAAGGGCCCUGGCACCUCUGCUUUCAAGGAUCUAAGCAUCACCAGUACUCCAGAGAAAAUACCAGAAUCAGGUUGGCCCUUGGAAAGUUCACCACACUGCUUGAAGAAAUGAGACUCCAGGUUUGCACCCUUCUGCCUUUUCAAAGCCAGCAACUUGAGACUCACCGCAUUCUUGACCGACACAAAGUUAUUUAGCAACAGCAGAUUCGUCCACCAUGCUUGCCGGCAGUUAUCCCAGUGGAAUUUGGGCAUUUCCCAGACAGGUCCCCAGGGAACAAGAGAGAACAGUCCAACCAACAAGCACAUUGAAUACAGGUGAAGAGGCUGCAACCUGGCAGGAGAGAACCGAGAGAAAGAAGGUGACUUUCCACCGGGGUCCCUCCAGUCAUCUCAGUGGGCACGUGGCGGGUGGGGCAUAAGGUGCUCUAAAACAGAUUGUUUGUACCGUGGGCAGCUGCCACCCAGCCACACCUCAAACGUUCAAGCAUCCACGAGUUCCAGAUCACUUACUGAGCACCUAUCAUGUACUGGCUCAGGUGCUACUGCUGCAAAAAUACUGCUAUUUAUUUCUCUUUUUUUAAGAGACAGGGUCUCACUCACUACGGCCCUGACUUCCACCUCCUGGGCUCAAGCGAUCCUCUCACCUCAACCUCCCAAUUAGCUAGAACUGCAGGCGCAUGCCACCAUGUUCCACUAAAAAUACUGUUAUUUAUUGAGCAAGUCAUAUAGGCCAACCACUGUGGGAGGAGCCUGCUAGAGAUUUCUAAACCUCAAAACAAUCCUGCAAGGUAGCUAUGACCUCCAUUUUAUGAAGAAAUUAUAGCUAAGAGAAGAUAGGGUGACUUGCCCAAGGUCACCAACCACAUAGCAGUACCAAGAUCUGACACUGGUUCAUGUUCUUUCCACAUGGCCUCACACGAUGAAAAACUCUUUCUUCCUUCCCUCCCUCACUUGCUUCAUUUCUCCCUUCCUUCACGCCCUACCUCCUCCAAGCAAGAUCUGAAGCAGCUACAAAGGGGAAGAAUCAGGAGUAAGGUGUCUAGACCAGCGCUGUUCAACAGAAACAGGAUGCAAGCACAGCUGCCCCCAGUUUUACACUUUCCAGCAGCCACAAUUUAAAAGAGUGACUGGCUCCCCCUCUGCCAACACGGUUGCUAAGCAAAGCCUGGGCCUCGCUGUGUGUGUGGGCAUGCACCUCCCGGCCUGCAAGUUCAUCAAGAGAGGGCAACGAGAAAGACUGGCAGGAAAACAGGCUCUGAGCAAGAUAGCUAGCUCCAAGGGGCUAAGACCCAAAGACCUGAACACACUGCAACAGAGCAAAGCACGCACUAGUGUUGGAUGAAGUCAGCCCGAGAGGUGAUGCUGGUGAAACUGCACCGGGACGGCUCUCUGAGGACCACUGACAUAAGGCACGGCCCUCCCUGACCCCAGACCAACCCAGUGAGAAGUCGGAACUUCAUCAAGCACCUGUACCACUCUGUGGGCCAGAAUUUGAGAAGCACUGAAAUAAACAAUUUUGAUGAAUACAAUCAAUGUUUAAAAGGCCUGUGUUAUAGAGCCAUCCUAACUCAUGUAAUAAACGGAAGAUACAGUGGAGAGUCUCCUGUGACAACAGUACUGUCUAGAAAUGGACAAAGGCUCAGAUGAAUAAAUGUGGGUCAUUCCGCUUUUCUCAUUAGAGUGAGAAUGGUAACACAUAUGCAUACACAUAUCCCAAAACAAACACCACAAGCCCUACAGCACUGAAAACGUAGUUCAACCUUAUUACCUGAUCAGGAAAAAUGUAUCAACUCCAAGAUAGAAGGGACCACUCCAAGAGUAAACACACAGUGGGUUUCUAAGCACUCUGCUGUUCCAUUCAAGCACAUUAUCUGUAACAAACAUUAAAAAGCAGUGUCUUUUUGUUUCAUAGAAGAAAAUCAUGUGAUUUCUCUUUUCAGAAAAAGCAAGAGGAACACCUUCGACUUUCAGUUGUGCUGGGCAGGCUUUAAGAAUCAC